rnacentral:lncRNA from 10 species
AUCUGAGAUCUCUUGCCCCUGAAAAACCACAAUUAAAUAGUUACAGGGAACUGUAAAUUAUUCAGGGACCCAUUCUUGGAUUGUACAUUAGUCUGGCGACAUUUUCAGCAUCCUGUUUUGGGCUUUUUAGAAAAAACAAAUGGGCCAGGAAUGAAGCCUCUCAAAAUAAGCCCAGAGUGGUGAGUGGCGUGGUUGGAUGGCCCUGCCAGCCAUGCAACAGGGUCUGCACUCCAUCUGAAGAGCACGGUGGACCCCCUGGAGGAUUUCCAGCAGAGGCGUGCUGGCUUUGUGUAGUCAGGGGAUGUGGCAGAAAGCCUCCAGGAUGGCCCCUGGUGAUCUGCAGAUCCUGGAAUUCAUGCCUUUGUGUGAUCCUCUCCCUUUAGUGCAGACUAGACUUAGUGACUUGCUUCUGAUGAAUACAAUACAAGCAAAAGAAUGGGAUGGCCCUUCUGAGAUUAGGUUACAAAAGGCCUGUGGCUUCUGUCUUGGCUUCUCUCUCUCACUCUACCCCUUGCUCACUCCAAAGGAAGGGAGCUGCCAUGUGGUGAGCUGCCCUGUGUAGAGAUCCAUGGGUCAAGAAAUUGAUGUUUCCAGCCAACAGCCAGCCAAGACCUCAGGGCUGCCAACAGCCACGUCAGUGAGCUUGGAAGUGCAUCCUAUCCGAGUUGAGCCCGCAGAUCACUCAGCCCCAGCCAACCCCUUUGCUGCAUCCUUGUGAGAGAUCCUGAGUCAGGCACCAGUGAAGCCUUGCUCAGAUUCCUGAUCCACAGACAUGAGUCCAAGCCUGAUCCUCUUUGGGGACCUGACUGGUCAGGUUCUGUUUAAGCAGCUUCACCUUCAGAGGAAUACAGGGCAGUCCAGUCUCA